CGUGUAGAUGUUGUCCCUGGGACAUCGUGUAAAUGUUGUCCCUGGGACAUCGUGUAAAUGUUGUCCCUGGGACAUCGUGUGAUAGCUUGUAAAUAAUGGAAUGAAAAUUAUUGAUUGUUAUUAACUUGUGAAAAAGAAGUGUAACAAAUCCACAUGUUAUGUUCUUACACCCUUACAGAAACUGUGACUCCUUCACAAUGUCAGGUAAUAGAUGGCCUAAUCUAUUUGCAGUGUGAGAAUUUCCCUCACAUUUAUCCAAUACCAAGCCAAAUCACUGGAAAAAUUUUGGAUGGGUCCACAAGAGCACAAAGUGCAUACUUUUUGAAGAAAAACAUCUUUCAGAUGUAUGAGAAAUUGAUUGGAGCCUGUCUGGAAAACGGCAGCCACUGGACCUUGUUUUUUUGUGACAUACCCAAGAGGACCAUAGUCUAUAUGAAUUCAUUUAGCGAGUCGGAGGUCAGAAAAAGUGCGGUGUUGAAAAACUGGAGGUAAUUAAUUAACAUAUUUAACAUAACAUAUUUAAUUUAAUUGAAAUCAUUACCGAACGUGGUUAUUGAUUUCUCUAUAUGCUUUUUAUUUGUAAUAACUGCGAUCUCUCAGCUCAUUUGCUUCAGCAAGAGGCUGCGCUGGAGAGUGGACCUUGUCACAUGUGAGCCACCCACAUCAACAGGAUGGGAACUCAUGUGGAGUGCAUGUCAUAAUGGUACUGAAAACUAUAGCUUUAACCUAUAUAAGUAAUGUUUACAUUUUUGCCUAUUCAGUUUUUAAAGCCUUAGAGGCAGGAUGGUAAAAUCUCAAUUUUUUUUGUAGAUUGAACCAUUUCAGCAGUAAUGCUUUGCUUUGGUUGCUCUGUUUUUUUUUUUUUUUCUCGGGGGGGGGGGGUUAAAAACAAACAAACAUUUCUUUGUUAAUCUAAUUCUUUUUGUUCUUUUUUUUUUUUUUUUUCUUCUUCGUCAAUUAUUAGUUUGCCCAAUCUCUCAUUGACGGUAAAACACAAGUGGAGGAGUACAACACUGAAAUCACAAAGCUCAGGUCCCGACUUUGCCACUACUUAUUUUCCUCAAUAGGUAAAGAUAAAAUUAGCUGCCUUCUUUUUCUCUAACAUUGGAAAAUGUAACUUGUACUUAAACAAAUUAUAUUUUGCAGAUCGAACUAGGAAGUGCAGUCAGUGCUGGUGUGUGAUUGCAGCCAAAGACCGGGUACACUAUGACAUGUCCUUAGCCAUAUAGAUUGUUUAUUUAAUGGACUUUGUUCAUUUGUUUUUUGUUUGUUUAUUUCUUCUUCUUUUUUUUUUUUUUUUUAAUUCACAGGUGCAGUGCCAGAAAUGUGGUGCAUACAAGCACAUGCGUUGUUCAAAGUCUGUUUGUGGCAUCUGUGUCUUCUGUGAGAGUAAGUCACAAUAUAACUAAACAAUGUCCAAAAAUGUUUAAAGUGAAAUUUUUUUUCGUAAUUUUGCCUUUGCACACCAGGACUGUGUAAUUAAAGUGGACGUUUCAAGAUCCAGUUUUUACACAAAACUAUUUUAGACAUAACUGUGUCGUAUUGUGGGGAUUUCUCUUCACAAUUAAAUUGAUAUAGUGCUGUUUAUAUCAUUCUUCUUUAUGUAACAGCACAGUGCAGCACAGCAGAGGGAAAGGAGUUGUGCAGCAUAGUAGGUGACUAUACAGGAGGAGCAAUAGAAGUAGCCAGUGAAGAAUGUCAUCAGGGAAAGCAUCAGGCAGCGAAUGACAAAGGAAAAGUUCCUAAGGGAGAGAACAUCUGCAGCAAAUCGACAAGUAACAGUGAGAUAGGAAGACUGACAGUCAGAGAUGAAGGUACACAGACUGAAGACAACGAAAAAGAAGCAGAAGUAUACGGCACAAGUCUGAGUACAGAUAAUGCUGCUGCUGAUGAUGUUGACAGGAUCGAUGCAGAUACAGAAUUCCAAACUGAUUCAGAAGGAACUAGUACAGUUUACAGAGUGCAUGGUCGCUUAUCUGUACCAAGCUCAAAAAAGAAAACCUACACAAUAACAGAAGACGAGAUCAAGCGCAGAAUCAACGCAGAGAACAUGUCAGUUCAUGUUUUCAGAGGUUUGAUUGGGGUAGGUAUACAUUUCGUGAUUUUGAUGUCACCUGAAAUAAAUCCGGGUUACUCGUAUCAAUGAAGUGACAAUGUGGCUGGAAAUUGUGCAUUUGCUGCAACAUAUACACAAUUACACCAUGUAAACAAAAGCAUUUAACUUUGUGCGCGCGUGUGUGUGUCUCUCUCUGCUCUUUUGGUGUUUGCACUUUUUCUUUUUUAGGGCCGUAAAGCCAAACUGCCCGCAAUGAUUCUUGACAGGCCUAAGAAGGCCAAAACUAAAGUAACAGUGUUUAGUGUUCUGAGUGAAGAGGAGGCUGGGGAGCUAGCCCUCGGGUUUGCCGGAAGAUUGGCCUGCGAUGUCACAACAGACAUGGUCUGUAAAGGCAUCGACCAUUCAAGUGCUGAUAUGACAAAACAGACUCUUCUCAAAAUCCAACACAACCUUAAACAUGAGCUGACUGAUUCCUCAACCUUCAGUUUGCUGACACACACCUUUGGCCCCGCUGCACUGGAUUCUGUCAUUUCAUUCCUGUGUGAAAAACUUGAUCUUGUCUCUUAAAUAAUGAAACCUUUUGUGACUUUUGUUUGUUCUGUAAAUCAGAAUCUUGAAAAUUGUUCAUUGUUGUUCUAAGUUUGUGUUAACUAUUUGGCAAAAAUGAUUGGUUCCUAAUCCAAACAGCAUAAUGACUGUUCUAACACAUAUCUUAAAAAUGCUAC
ensembl:lncRNA